rnacentral:rRNA from 1 species
AAGUCUAACCUGCCCAAUGAAAUUUUAAUGGCCGCGGGUAUUUUGACCGUGCUAAGGUAGCAUAAUCAUUAGUUUUUUAAUUAAAAGCUGGAAUGAAGGGUUGGAUGAAAAAAUAACUGUCUUUAUUUUAUUUUAUUAGAAAUUUAUUUUUAAGUUCAAAAGCUUAAAUGAUUUUAAAAGACGAGAAGACCCUAUAGAGUUUAAUAAAUUAAUUUUUUAUAAUAUUUAGAAUUUUAUAUUUUAAUAUUUUUAAUUUAUUUAAUUGGGGUGAUUAAAAAAUUAAAAAAACUUUUUUUGUUAUUUUAUAUUGAUUAAUAAAUUAUUGAUCUUAAAAUUUUGAUUAUAAGUUUAAAUUACCUUAGGGAUAACAGCGUAAUUUUAUUGGAGAGUUCAAAUUGAUAAUAAAGAUUGCGACCUCGAUGUUGGAUUAAAA